UCCUGGUUUCCCAGGCAGUCCCAUCAGAGUGCCUUCUUCACAGAAGUUGCAACUGAUGGCAAGGGUUGCGCUCGUUAAAGGACUUAACCCAACAUCUCACGACACGAGCUGACGACAGCCAUGCAGCACCUGUGUAUCUGUCUAGGCUUACGCCUAGAAAACUGUAUUUCUACAGCGGUCACAUACAUGUCAAGCCCAGGUAAGGUUUCUCGCGUAGUAUCGAAUUAAACCACAUGUUCCACCGCUUGUGCGGACCCCCGUCAAUUCCUUUGAGUUUUAAUCUUGCGACCGUACUCCCCAGGCGGAUCACUUAACGCGUUAGCAACGACACUGAUCUCGCAGAGCGAGACCAACGUCUAGUGAUCAUCGUUUACGGCGUGGACUAC
rnacentral:misc_RNA from 1 species